rnacentral:rRNA from 1 species
CACAGAGUUAGCCGAUGCUUAUUCCUCAGAUACCGUCAUUGUUUCUUCUCCGAGAAAAGAAGUUCACGACCCGUGGGCCUUCUACCUCCACGCGGCAUUGCUCCGUCAGGCUUUCGCCCAUUGCGGAAAAUUCCCCA